rnacentral:rRNA from 1 species
AUUGAACGCUGGCGGCAGGCCUAACACAUGCAAGUCGAACGAGUGGCGGACGGGUGAGUAAUGUAUGGGAAACUGCCUGAUGGAGGGGGAUAACUACUGGAAAAGGGAGCUAAUACCGAAUACAAUCGGAGCUGCACAGAGUGGAGUAGCUAGUUGGUGGGGUACAGGCUCACCUACGCGACGAUCCAUAGCUGGUCUGAGAGGAUGACCAGCCACACUGGAACUGAGACACGGUCCCGACUCCUACGGUAGGCAUCAGUGGGGAAUAUUGCACCAUGGGCGCAAGCCUGAUGCAGCCAUGCCGCGUGUAUGAAGAAGGCCUUCGGGUUGUAAAGUACUUUCAGCGGUGAGGCGUUACCCGCAGAAGAAGCACCGGCUAACUCCGUGCCAGCCGCCGCGGUAAUUC